CAGCUCAGAUUGAACGCUGGCGGCAGGCCUAACACAUGCAAGUCGAGCGGUAGCACAGAAGAGCUUGCUCUUUGGGUGACGAGCGGCGGACGGGUGAGUAAUGUCUGGGAAACUGCCUGAUGGAGGGGGAUAACUACUGGAAACGGUAGCUAAUACCGCAUAACCUCGCAAGAGCAAAGAGGGGGACCUUCGGGCCUCUCGCCAUCAGAUGUGCCCAGAUGGGAUUAGCUAGUAGGUGAGGUAAUGGCUCACCUAGGCGACGAUCCCUAGCUGGUCUGAGAGGAUGACCAGCCACACUGGAACUGAGACACGGUCCAGACUCCUACGGGAGGCAGCAGUGGGGAAUAUUGCACAAUGGGCGCAAGCCUGAUGCAGCCAUGCCGCGUGUGUGAAGAAGGCCUUCGGGUUGUAAAGCACUUUCAGCGGGGAGGAAGGCGGUAAGGUUAAUAACCUUAUCGAUUGACGUUACCCGCAGAAGAAGCACCGGCUAACUCCGUGCCAGCAGCCGCGGUAAUACGGAGGGUGCAAGCGUUAAUCGGAAUGACUGGGCGUAAAGCGCACGCAGGCGGUCUGUUAAGUUGGAUGUGAAAUCCCCGGGCUUAACCUGGGAACUGCAUUCAAAACUGACAGGCUAGAGUCUUGUAGAGGGGGGUAGAAUUCCAGGUGUAGCGGUGAAAUGCGUAGAGAUCUGGAGGAAUACCGGUGGCGAAGGCGGCCCCCUGGACAAAGACUGACGCUCAGGUGCGAAAGCGUGGGGAGCAAACAGGAUUAGAUACCCUGGUAGUCCACGCUGUAAACGAUGUCGAUUUGGAGGUUGUGCCCUUGAGGCGUGGCUUCCGGAGCUAACGCGUUAAAUCGACCGCCUGGGGAGUACGGCCGCAAGGUUAAAACUCAAAUGAAUUGACGGGGGCCCGCACAAGCGGUGGAGCAUGUGGUUUAAUUCGAUGCAACGCGAAGAACCUUACCUACUCUUGACAUCCAGAGAACUUAGCAGAGAUGCUUUGGUGCCUUCGGGAACUCUGAGACAGGUGCUGCAUGGCUGUCGUCAGCUCGUGUUGUGAAAUGUUGGGUUAAGUCCCGCAACGAGCGCAACCCUUAUCCUUUGUUGCCAGCGAUUCGGUCGGGAACUCAAAGGAGACUGCCGGUGAUAAACCGGAGGAAGGUGGGGAUGACGUCAAGUCAUCAUGGCCCUUACGAGUAGGGCUACACACGUGCUACAAUGGCGUAUACAAAGAGAAGCGACCUCGCGAGAGCAAGCGGACCUCAUAAAGUACGUCGUAGUCCGGAUUGGAGUCUGCAACUCGACUCCAUGAAGUCGGAAUCGCUAGUAAUCGUAGAUCAGAAUGCUACGGUGAAUACGUUCCCGGGCCUUGUACACACCGCCCGUCACACCAUGGGAGUGGGUUGCAAAAGAAGUAGGUAGCUUAACCUUCGGGAGGGCGCUUACCACUUUGUGAUUCAUGACUGGGGGUGAAGUCUA
rnacentral:rRNA from 1 species